UGGGGGAUAUUGCACAAUGGAGGAAACUCUGAUGCAGCGACGCCGCGUGAGGGAAGAAGGUCUUCGGAUUGUAAACCUCUGUCUUUGGGGACGAAGAAAGUGACGGUACCCAAAGAGGAAGCCACGGCUAACUACGUGCCAGCAGCCGCGGUAAUACGUAGGUGGCGAGCGUUGUCCGGAAUUACUGGGUGUAAAGGGUGCGUAGGCGGACUGGCAAGUUGGAUGUGAAAUCUCCGCGCUUAACGUGGAGGUUGCAUUCAAAACUGUUGGUCUUGGGUGAGGCAGAGGCAGGCGGAAUUCCCGGUGUAGCGGUGAAAUGCGUAGAGAUCGGGAGGAACACCAGUGGCGAAGGCGGCCUGCUGGGCCUUAACUGACGCUGAGGCACGAAAGCAUGGGUAGCAAACA
rnacentral:rRNA from 1 species